ensembl:lincRNA
GUCAGUGAGUGAGACAGAGGCUUUGGGCCCAAGUGGGCGGGGCAGCAACUAACGAAGAGAAGAGACCUGUGUGGAGAAAGCACCACAGGCCAGCCAGGCCACCAGCUCGCAGGUCACGCAAGGAGACUGCUUGGCCUGCUCAUGCGCCAAAAGACUGGAACUCCCUGAUGGCUUUCAGGGAAGCGUUUUUAAAAGGCAAAGUGAUGGAGAAGGUCUCAGGUAGGUGAUCAGCUUGUAGACAUCCUUCUGAUUAGUUGGUGAUGAGGUAAAGGUGAUAUUUUAGGAAUCAACAUCAUCCCUUCCAGAACAUCCUUUCCAGCUGGUCCAGGAUCUAGUGCUUGUGGGUGGCAUACAGUUAGCUUCUUUGACUUGGUGGCGGGCUUCAGUAUCUGCAAAACAACUCAAUGGUUUGGCUCAGAAUAGUAUCAAUAGCCCUUGAGGAGGAACUAAAGGUCCUUGACUUUGUUUUAUGGCUAAACUGUUAUUUUUGUCUUACUUGUCUGUUUUCCUUUGGUUCUGCAUUUUCUGACUUCUCUGAUUAAAUUUGCUCUUUGGAACUUGGGGAAAGCAUAGGGAACUAAUGUUCUAAUACAAACAAGAGAAAGGGACACAGGACAGGGGUUCUGUGCCCAGGAAGGCCCCACAGUGUCCUGCUCAGUUGCAAACACGGAGACAGCAUGAUUUCUGUCGGAUACACCAAGUCCUAUUCUUCCAGUAUUCACCAGUCUGCUAAUUUUCAGGAUAAAAAUGUGUACUUGAUACCUUUGUUUCCUGUUUGGAGUCACAAAACUAUUCCAUUUUGUCAUUAAGUGCAGAUAUCAAAUAUACACAGUCUUUGUCUUUGUGGUCCCUGCACCAAGUGGCCCCAUGCCUUCUACAUCCAGCUGCUCCUUCCCUGUGACUCUGCACUGGUUCCCUGUUCUCUUGUUUUCUCCCUCCUCUGGAUCACCUUUGGGAGACGUGACCACACUCUCCUGGACACAGUUGGGGGUGGGGAUGCUGUGAUCAUGGUGUCCCCACCCUUAGCCGAGAGAGGACAGCUGGGCCUCAGUCCCCCGGACCCCGGCCUCCCGACCUGCCUUCCCUCCACUUGCAGCUGAGCACAGCUGGAGACACUUGGAGGGGGCUUGUGCGGGACAUAUCAGCACACCCACGGCCAUCAGGACCGGGUCAGAGAUGCCCACCAAGGACCCCAUCCAGAGGCCUGGGGAAGGCAGAGUCGCACACCUGCAGGAAACUUGAGUUUUUCCCGCCGUCACUGUUCCUGUGGAGUUCUGGGCUCAGGGACAGGUCUGGUGACAGAAGAGAAUUAAAUUCUAAAUGUAGAGAAUUAAAUUCUAAAUGUGAUCCUCUGUGGUUCCAGACCCAAGUCCUCUCUCCUCACAGGUCCAGUGUGAGCCCCACCAGCCUCCUGAUUCUCACAUUCCCAGUUUAUAUUCAGCAUGUAAACCUGCAAGGCAGGUGAGGGAAACAUGCAAAGAGGACAUUGCUUUGCUGCUUUCAGCAAAAACACAAAGGAAAAAACUUGUGAAGUUACACAGAGAUCUGGAAUUAGAAUGGCUUCAAAUUGAACAGAAAAUGUUCUCACAUCAUCCCCGUGGCCCAGGUAACAGGAGUCAGGAAGGUCUCAGUGGACAAUGCGCUGACAUGAGCUAUACACGUCCCCAGGCCAGUUCCUGCAUGUGGCAUUUACAGCUGCGAUGUCUCAGAGAGAUGGGUCCCAGGGAAGGUGGAAUGCAGGGCAGAAAACAGAAGCAGAAAGAGGGGGAAGUGUGUGAGAACAAGGGUGGCUAAGUCCUCCUGGGGCAGGAUGGCCCAGGAAGAAGCCCAUCCCUGAAUGUGCUACAAAACCUUUCAUUGUGGCCUCUGCCUGUCCCACCCUGUGCCAAAAUAAACCCCCAGGCCAUCCUGAAGAAGCAAGACCUUUCAUUUCACACACAAGUGGCAACUCGUCCCGCUGCCCACAUUGACUGGCC